AACGAACGCUGGCGGCAGGCUUAACACAUGCAAGUCGAACGCUCACUUCGGUGAGAGUGGCAGACGGGUGAGUAACACGUGGGAAUCUACCCAUCUCUGCGGAACAACACAUAGAAAUGUGUGCUAAUACCGCAUACGCCCUUCGGGGGAAAGAUUUAUCGGAGAUGGAUGAGCCCGCGCUUGAUUAGCUAGUUGGUGAGGUAAUGGCUCACCAAGGCGACGAUCAAUAGCUGGUCUGAGAGGAUGAUCAGCCACACUGGGACUGAGACACGGCCCAGACUCCUACGGGAGGCAGCAGUGGGGAAUAUUGGACAAUGGGCGCAAGCCUGAUCCAGCCAUGCCGCGUGAGUGAUGAAGGCCCUAGGGUUGUAAAGCUCUUUCGCAGGUGAAGAUAAUGACGGUAACCUGUAAAGAAGCCCCGGCUAACUUCG
rnacentral:rRNA from 1 species